CCACACCGACCACAUAAUCAUCAACGCAUUCCAGACAAAUCUCAACGAAAUGGAUCGAAAGAUUGUUUUUGCUCUUCUUCUCUUGAUGUCGGUUCAAGUCUCCAUGGCCUUCCAUUGGAACGAACGCAAAGGUGCCGAGCCACAGUUUCCUCCUGAGAUGGGCGAUGAAAUUGCCGCCGACGCUGAACGCCUAAUGCGAAAAGCUGCAAAGGAUCAUUGGAGCAACAAAAUGGCAAAAGAUGUAAUCUGGUGGGAGCAAUAAAAAUCAACCACUAGUGAACUUGUCAUUUGACCAAAUGUUGACCCAAUAAACAGAAAUAAAAUGUG